rnacentral:lncRNA from 1 species
CGAGCUCCCAUUGGCUUCUGUCUCCAGACGGCCCUUUUUAUUGGCUUCAGUGGAACUGGAAGGCGGGACGGCGAGUGCGGGAGAAGGUCUCCAUUGGCCGACCGCUCUAGCUGUAGCGGAGACCCCCAAGUAGGGAAAUUGGGGCAAAACGCGGAGCGCUCCAGGCUCCUACGGGCUGUGCGGUGCCAGGGCUCGACUGCUGAGCGUCGUGGGCUCCGAGAGGGACGCGGGCGGAGGGCAAAGUGGGUUCAUGAUAUGAAUUGUAAAAUUGGCGACUGCGUAAUGUAAAACACUUAACAAUUGCUUAGAUUUCCUUUGGGAAAUAACUUGCUUUUAAAUUGUAAACAAAUUACAAACAAACUGCUAGUGCUUCUGGAUCUUCUUACCGAAAUGGCUGAUUCAGGAGGAUGCGGGGAGCGUCAGAUCAGGAUUGCUGAAGGAGAGCUGAGAAUGAAACCACCAUUUAUUCAGCACUCAGAAUGCUCCAGGCAGUGUAAUCUCAUUCCAUCUUCAUUCAUGACUCCAGACAGGUAUGGCCACCAGUGCUCCAGAUUUACAUUCUAUUUACCUCACAACCCCAGUGGAAAAAGAAUAUCUCUUUCCUGAUUGGUCCAGCAGAAAUCUUGGUAUUAACUCUGACUGCCCACACUUGAAUAUGAACUAUUAGUAAGUACUGUGGCCAAGAGUUUGCUUCGGGAAAGAAUAUGAUAAAGUCACCUUAUCUUUCAUGUUUGCUCAGAAUAGUGAGGUGAUUCUCCACAGGAAAACUGGAAUGCUGUUACUAGAAGAAGAAAUACUGGACAAAGCUAAUAGAUGUCCCCAAAAGUGAUGAUAAUAAUUUUAUUCAAAUAGGUUCAUAGAUCAGUCUGGUGGGCUUGUUUUCACAUUUUAUUUAAGAAAAACUCUUGUAAUUACAAGUUCCCCAGUCUGUAAAUACAGAUGAGAUUAACCAAAUUUUGUUAUUUUUUGACUGCCUCUGCUUUAUAGCACCCCUCCCCUCCAAAGACUUCCCCACCAAUAAUUUCUGGGACUUCCUAGAGAGUGUCUCAUACUUACAAACAUACCUGCCUCUACUGGUCAUCCCACUAGGCAAGAUACCAGGACCACUGCUCUGCCAGGCAACAGUCUAUCCCUCUUCUCUCCAGGACCCAGCAACUUCUGCUGGUGGCCAUCAUGAAGUCACUGAGUACCACCACUUACACCAGUGCCAGAGUUGAACUGGAAUUGUGCCAGUUAUAUGCCUUUUGUUUCUCAGAUCCUAGCCUGCCUUUUCUA